rnacentral:misc_RNA from 1 species
UUAUAGUAAUGAUAAUUCUAUUAGUCGAAUUUCGUUAUAUUUAGGUCUCCUUGGCUUAACAAGUGAGCUCAACAAGUCCAUCUUUUGGGGGAGAUUUGACUAUCUAAAAGAACUUUGAGCUCGCUGUUUUUAUUUUUUUUUUAGCUGGGGAAUUGGAGAUCUCGGACUCAAACUUGUCUCUACUUAAUGAAUAAGUGUCUAUUUAAUAUUGAAUUUGGG